rnacentral:rRNA from 1 species
AGUGAACGUUGGCGGCGUGGAUUAGGCAUGCAAGUCGAGCGAGAACCGUAGCAAUACGGGGACAGCGGCGAAAGGGACAGUAAUGUGUAGGUACCUACCUCCGGGUUCGGGAUAGCUGCGGGAAACUGCAGGUAAUACCGAAUAACGUCUCCGGACCAAAGGUGUGAUUCCACCUGGAGAGGGGCCUGCAUCCUAUUAGCUUGUUGGCGGGGUAACGGCCCUCCAAGGCGACGAUGGGUAGCGGGUGUGAGAGCACGACCCGCGUCAUUGGGACUGAGACACUGCCCAGACACCUACGGGUGGCUGCAGUCGUGAAUCUUCGGCAAUGGGCGCAAGCCUGGCCGAGCGACGCCGCGUGCGGGAUGAAGGCCUUCGGGUUGUAAACCGCUGUCGUAGAGGAGGAAAUGCAGGGGGGUUCUCCCCUCUGUUUGACCUAUUCUAGGAGGAAGUACGGGCUAAGUUCGUGCCAGCCGCCGCUGUAA